rnacentral:rRNA from 1 species
AGAGUUUGAUCAUGGCUCAGAUUGAACGCUGGCGGCAGGCCUAACACAUGCAAGUCGAGCGGUAGCACAAGAGAGCUUGCUCUCUGGGUGACGAGCGGCGGACGGGUGAGUAAUGUCUGGGAAACUGCCUGAUGGAGGGGGAUAACUACUGGAAACGGUAGCUAAUACCGCAUAACGUCUUCGGACCAAAGUGGGGGACCUUCGGGCCUCACGCCAUCAGAUGUGCCCAGAUGGGAUUAGCUAGUAGGUGGGGUAAUGGCUCACCUAGGCGACGAUCCCUAGCUGGUCUGAGAGGAUGACCAGCCACACUGGAACUGAGACACGGUCCAGACUCCUACGGGAGGCAGCAGUGGGGAAUAUUGCACAAUGGGUGCAAGCCUGAUGCAGCCAUGCCGCGUGUGUGAAGAAGGCCUUCGGGUUGUAAAGCACUUUCAGCGAGGAGGAAGGGUAGUGUGUUAAUAGCACAUUGCAUUGACGUUACUCGCAGAAGAAGCACCGGCUAACUCCGUGCCAGCAGCCGCGGUAAUACGGAGGGUGCAAGCGUUAAUCGGAAUUACUGGGCGUAAAGCGCACGCAGGCGGUUUGUUAAGUCAGAUGUGAAAUCCCCGCGCUUAACGUGGGAACUGCAUUUGAAACUGGCAAGCUAGAGUCUUGUAGAGGGGGGUAGAAUUCCAGGUGUAGCGGUGAAAUGCGUAGAGAUCUGGAGGAAUACCGGUGGCGAAGGCGGCCCCCUGGACAAAGACUGACGCUCAGGUGCGAAAGCGUGGGGAGCAAACAGGAUUAGAUACCCCGGUAGU